AUACUUACCUGGCAGGGGAGAUAAUAUAAUCAGGAAGGUGGUUUCCCCAGGGCAAGGCUCACCCAUUGCACUCUGGGUGUGCUGACCCCUGCAACUUCCCCAAAUGUGGAAAACUCGACUGCAUAAUUUGUGGUAGUGGGGGACUGCGUUCGCACUCUCCCCUA